rnacentral:rRNA from 1 species
AGUAACGCGUGGGUAACCUGCCUCAUACAGGGGGAUAACAGUUAGAAAUGACUGCUAAUACCGCAUAAGCGCACAGUGCUGCAUGGCACAGUGUGAAAAACUCCGGUGGUAUGAGAUGGACCCGCGUCUGAUUAGCUAGUUGGUGGGGUAACGGCCUACCAAGGCGACGAUCAGUAGCCGGCCUGAGAGGGUGACCGGCCACAUUGGGACUGAGACACGGCCCAA